AGGAACAUGAUAUGGGUCACCUCACAGAAUGCACUAAAGCUAGAAAUGAAGUCCACAUUACUCUCAAGCAAGAGUGAAGCAUUUUAUGGAAAGCAAGAAGCCAGUUGCAUCCAUCUGCCAUGGCCAAUAGAUUUUAGCUGCUGAAGAUGUGCUCAAGGUACUCUUAGAUCAUGUUUGAUAUAUUUCACAUUUGUUUCUCAACGACCACUGAGGUUGAGCUGUGUAGGCGAAACGUGUGUAGUGUCUUCAUUGAUUUUAUUCUCAAAUUAGCAUGAUGUAAACUGUUCACAUUAAUUUGUUGACGCUUUAAACACAACUAAAUUUGGGAAGAUAUACUUUUUGCAACUUGUGUGUGCUUAAUGGUAUGUAUAUUGAUUUUUAGCAAUUCACAAAUGGCACAGUUUGGUCUAUUUUUAUAUUUAAA